rnacentral:rRNA from 1 species
CAGCCGCCGCGGGAAUACAGAGGGUGCAAGCGUUAAUCGGAAUUACUGGGCGUAAAGCGCGCGUAGGUGGUUUGUUAAGUUGGAUGUGAAAGCCCCGGGCUCAACCUGGGAACUGCAUCCAAAACUGGCAAGCUAGAGUACGGUAGAGGGUGGUGGAAUUUCCUGUGUAGCGGUGAAAUGCGUAGAUAUAGGAAGGAACACCAGUGGCGAAGGCGACCACCUGGACUGAUACUGACACUGAGGUGCGAAAGCGUGGGGAGCAAACAGGAUUAGAUACCCGCGUAGUCCCUGUCUCUUAUAC